CUUCUCUGAAAGGAUUUUUUUAAAAUCAGAUUCUAUGACAGCAUCGCAUUCAAACUGUAUUGAAAUCAGGGUAAUUCACUCAGAAAAGGAGUGACAUCUGGAUUUAGACGCAGUGUGAACAUGUCUAUGGAGUUGUUACAUCUGCGAAAAGUCAACGUUAAGAGGUCCUACUAUCGCACAGGGUAAUCUAGAAACAAUUACUUGAAACGCAAGUCUCGCCUGUGGCUUCAACAAUUCUGAAGCGCUCGACUCGUCAGCCAAUAGGGUGUCAGCAUUCCUCCUAAUUCAUCAGCUACUGACCAAUGAGAGUCCAGAGUCCUGUCAUAAACCCACCCACAGCCACUGCAGCUCUGGCUCAGGGGCGUCACACAUUAUUUGUAAUGUUUACUCAGACUGACAGAAUCAUCUAUAGCAAACCAAUCUGGAAGCAA